UUUUCUUUUUCCUUCUCUCUUCUCCCUCCCGUGGUUUUCUAUCUUUCUCUCCUCUGCAACUCUCUUCCCUCUGCAACUCUCUUUCCCUCCAGCAUAUCUCCUCCUCCAGACCACCAAAUGGCGAGCUGCUGGCCUAGAUAGACUCGUCUCCUCCUCCUUAACCUGCAUGUGGGAGUUGUUUACCGCGAUUUGGCCGGAAAUGUGGAGAUCAAAACCAACAUUUUUACUGUAGCAAAAUGGUCAACGCCGAUUUCCGGUCACCUUCGGCCACAAAACCAGGUCCAUUAGAAGCGCCUUGAGCCACUCUUCAUGCUCUCCAAACCUCUUGCAGCGAUUUGAAGCGUGGAGGAAGAAAGCAUAAUUGGAAAAUUUCACUAUACUUCGGAUUGCUUAAUUGUUCGGCCACUUCAAGGGCGAUAUACCGAGUUAUUGCUCGACGAAAGAACUUGUAUGCGUGAUCGCCUCAAUAGUACUUUUGCAGGCCAGUUUAGCUUGAGGUCGAGCGUAGUUGGGGUUGAGGCAUAGCUGUCAUAGCUUCCGCAUUAUAAAAGCAUCGGUCAUUUAUCUUGCUUUCUAUUCUCUUGUUCGCCUGUACAUUAGAUUGCUCUGAUAACCUAUGAGAUUAAUAUUCUUAAAUUCAGAAUUGUUUAUGAAAUGAGAGAUGUGAGAUGUUGUGAUAUAGGGAGCAGGGUGGCUCCAGGAGAAUAAGGAUGGAUGAUUUAGAA